AGAGUUUGAUCCUGGCUCAGGGGGAACUGGCGGCGUCCUUAACCCAUGCAGUCGAACGGGGUAGAGAGCUUCGGUUUUUUACUUAGUGGCGAACGGGUGAGUAACGCGUGAGAAACCUGCCUUUCAGUGGGGGACAACAGUUGGAAACGACUGCUAAUACCGCAUAAUGUUAUCGAGCGGCAUCGCUUGAUAACCAAAGCUUUAUGUGCUGAAAGAUGGUCUCGCGUCUGAUUAGCUAGUUGGUGAGGUAACGGCUCACCAAGGCGACGAUCAGUAGCCGGUCUGAGAGGAUGAACGGCCACAUUGGGACUGAGAUACGGCCCAGACUCCUACGGGAGGCAGCAGUGGGGAAUAUUGGGCAAUGGGGGAAACCCUGACCCAGCAACGCCGCGUGAAGGAAGAAGGCCUUCGGGUUGUAAACUUCUUUUACCAGGGACGAAGAACGUGACGGUACCUGGCAGAAAAAGCAACGGCUAACUACGUGCCAGCAGCCGCGGU
rnacentral:rRNA from 1 species